UACAGAGGGGGCAAGCGUUGUUCGGAAUUACUGGGCGUAAAGGGCGCGUAGGCGGCCUUCUAAGUCGAACGUGAAAUCCCCGGGCUCAACCCGGGAACUGCGUCCGAUACUGGAAGGCUUGAAUCCGGGAGAGGGAUGCGGAAUUCCAGGUGUAGCGGUGAAAUGCGUAGAUAUCUGGAGGAACACCGAUGGCGAAGGCAGCUGCCUGGCCCAGAACUGACGCUGAGGUGCGAAAGCGUGGGGAGCGAACGGG
rnacentral:rRNA from 1 species